rnacentral:rRNA from 1 species
UGCGUAGACGGGAAAUUAAGUUAGUUGUGAAAUCCCUCGGCUUAACUGAGGAACUGCAACUAAAACUGGUUUUCUUGAGUGCUGGAGAGGAAAGUGGAAUUCCUAGUGUAGCGGUGAAAUGCGUAGAUAUUAGGAGGAACACCAGUGGCGAAGGCGACUUUCUGGACAGUAACUGACGUUGAGGCACGAAAGUGUGGGGAGCAAACAA